UUAGGGUUUGAUAUUUGAGAAAAGAUCAAUAUUUUUAAAGUCUCAUUGGAAUAUUGUUGGGAAAUCAUCUUUUACUGCCUGAAUAUGGUUCUUAAAGAAUUACUCUGAAAUAUAUUGAAAAGAAAAUAGUUAAGUGUAUAGAGGAAGUAGAUUGGCAUGAAAAUUAACUUCAAAAUUAAAAAUAAUUUUUGUAUCUAGAAUAGUUUGAGAUUUUGAGUGUCAUAUAUAAUAUGGCUUGCUGUAUAUGUUAGGGGAAAUGUAACAUAUAAUGCUGACAUUAUUAUGCUGCGAAAUUAAGCUAGCUUCGAUUCCUACACUGCCACUUUCUUCGUAUGUUGGACAAGUUGAGAGUUUCCUAGAAAAAACAUUUGACAUUUUCAUUGAGGUUUUGCGUGAAUAUUCAUGAAUCUCUCUCUUAAAGAAUAACUAAAGUGUCAGAAUAUCUGUAUUUCUGCGCUUUUGUUGUUGUCUAGCCUCUCUACGUAGCACUUGAAUGAUUAGACAGAUGUGUUUGUCUGAGAAGCUAUGUCUUUGUAAUCAGAUUAUUUUUUACAGAGUUUCCUUCGUGUGAAAAUAUGCCCUUUAAGUUAUUAUCAAAGUACAAGAAGUUUAUUGAUUCUAAUUCAGAGUAAUUAUGAAAAUUCUCAGAAUACUUUUAGAAAACAUAACCAGGCUUUAAUUUAGAUCUCAACUGAUGACUUGGUAACUUCAACCUAUAUAGUUUGUGUUGUGUAAUCAUUCCAGGAUAAAAGUUACUUUCUUUUGUGCUCAAAUGUGUGCCUUUGUACUUGUAGAUAAGAUACUAGGAGUGCACCCAGUGGCUAUAGAACAGUGGUCGUUCAAAGAAUCAGUCACUUUCCUUAGCCACACUGUUCUAACAGAAGGACAGAAAUGUCGCUUGCUUACAUUUUCCACUAAAAUGCCUUGUAUUUUUAUGAGGAUUUUUAAAUUACCUGUGCAUUUUUUUCUGCAUUUUCUCCUUUGACCUUUAUACCGUCCUUUGAAGUGGCGGGCUGUUUUAUUUUUGUUUUACAAAGGAUUAUACUGAAGUUCAUUAAAGUUAGGUGAGUUACCAAAGGUAUCAGAAUUUCUCUUGGUUUCUAAAGGAAAAUUUUUAAUGUUUCCUUUGGACAAGAUGAAAAAUCUUACCUGGAGUUUAAAAAGUUGUAAAGUCUCAUCUUCCAGAUGAGAAAUCAAUGACCCAGAGAGGUUAGCGCACCAUGUUUAAGGUCACCUAAUUAGUGGUGGAACUUGGACUAAAACCCAGUGCAGUGCUUUCUCCCUUGUACCGGGUGCCUAUAGUCAGUCAGAUCUUUUAGCACCUCUAUGCAUCAUGUUGCAGGCUGCAGUGUGUUCUUAAGAAAACGGUGUGCUAAAGAAGUUGAAGGUGGUCCCUGGCAUCCAAAACUUAGACUAACAUGGGGGAGAGAAAAAUGCCACAUAGAGAGUAACUGCUAACAUGUGUAAUACUCGCUCUCCAAGAGUUCUCUGAAGAGAUGGCUAAAUUGGGAGACGGGAGAGCUGAGUAUGACUUCAUGGGGAGAGGAUGGUUUGAUCUGAGACCUGCGGGGCAGGUUGCUGCUCUAUAUGGAAGGCAGUCAGUCCAGUUGAGGGGCUAACUUGAGCAAAAACCAAAAUGAGCAUGGCAUAUGAUAGGAGGUGAGUCUAGGAAUGGAUUUGGGGAAAGAA